rnacentral:rRNA from 1 species
AUGACAAUGCUUUCGAUAGUCUGUACUAAAUUACUUUGUACGAAUGCACAUCUCGGCCGUCGGGUAGCUGAUCACCAUUUCAAAGUCUAUAUCCGUGGUUCAAGAAAUGGAAUUGCUAUUCUCGAUUCAGACAAGAAACUGAUUUGUUUACGAAAUGCUCUUCAUUUUAUAGGAUCUCCCAGUCGUCAAAAAGGCCGUUCCUUCUUUUUAAAGACCAGUCAUUUAUUUAUUUAUGAGAUAACGAAAGAAAUGGCGAGCUAUUUAAGAAAUGUGAAUUCUCAUUGUUUCGAUGAUUCUCGAUGGAAGAUCGGGACGUUUUUGACCAAUUCUUUUGCAAAUAAAAAAAUUCCGUUCAAGAAAGAAGAAGAUCAAUUUUGGGUUGAACCAACAACCUGA